UACGAAGGGGGCUAGCGUUGCUCGGAAUCACUGGGCGUAAAGCGCACGUAGGCGGUUUUCUAAGUCAGGGGUGAAAUCCUGGAGCUCAACUCCAGAACUGCCUUUGAUACUGGGAAUCUCGAGUCCGGGAGAGGUGAGUGGAACUGCGAGUGUAGAGGUGAAAUUCGUAGAUAUUCGCAAGAACACCAGUGGCGAAGGCGGCUCACUGGCCCGGUACUGACGCUGAGGUGCGAAAGCUAGGGGAGCAAACGGG
rnacentral:rRNA from 1 species